GCCAAGUUGGCUCAAGACUCAGGGUAAUAAACUCUAAAUUACGGUAAGUCUUUAAGUUACAUUGAAAAAACCACCAAAAAAAAGAACUUAAAGUCAGAAGAAUGGAACCAUUUGUCUCUUAUCUACCUAGGACCUGGAAGCCCACCCCGCCCCUCCCCCACCGCGCCGUCGAGUCCUCCCAGCUUUGCUUCAAGUUGUCUUGCCUUUCUAGACCUGCCCCGUCUUUCCAGACCGAACCAAUGUUCAUCCAGCACGUAUUGAUGGAUGUGUUAUGUCUCCCUAGGAAGUGUAAAAGCCAGUUGUGUUCUGACCACCUCGGGCACAGGUCGUCAGGAACUCCUGAGAGUGUCACAGACAGGUGUGUUCAACUUUGGCAAAAUAAACUUUCUGGAUUAACUGCAA
ensembl:lncRNA novel transcript